GCACUACUGAGGAGUCCCACAAUAGGACGAAGCGGCUGUCCAGUUC
rnacentral:hammerhead_ribozyme from 1 species